GACAGAGGUGCCGAGCGUUAGGCGGAAUCACUGGGCUUAAAGCGUGUGUAGGCGGGCGGGCAAGUACCUUGUGAAAUCCCACGGCUCAACCGUGGAACGGCUGGGUAUACUGCCUGUCUUGAGCCAACUAGGGGCGAGCGGAACAGACGGUGGAGCGGUGAAAUGCGUAGAUAUCGUCUGGAACGCCAAAGGUGAAAACAGCUCGCUGGGGUUGUGACUGACGCUGGAGACACGAAAGCCAGGGGAGCGAACGGG
rnacentral:rRNA from 1 species